CCAGGGAGGUGGGCAACUACCACCCAGGGCCGGAAAGCUCUCCAAACUCGGUCAUUUAGAGGAAGUAAAAGUCGUAACAAGGUCUCCGUUGGUGAACCAGCGGAGGGAUCAUUA
rnacentral:rRNA from 1 species